rnacentral:rRNA from 1 species
CGCGUAGGCGGAAUGGCAAGUCGGUCGUGAAAUCCUUCGGCUCAACCGAAGAACGUCGAUCGAAACUGCCGUUCUUGAGGAUUGCAGAGGAGACUGGAAUUCCCGGUGUAGCGGUGAAAUGUGUAGAGAUCGGGAGGAACACCGGUGGCGAAGGCGGGUCUCUGGGCAAUUCCUGACGCUGAGGCGCGAAAGCGUGGGGAGCAAACGG